AGUAUGUUUUCACAAAGAGUCUGCAAAAAUAUCAGACACAGGAGUUGGUACAGACACUGAAGUCAUCCAGAUUAAGGACUGGGCCACAUUGGAGACAGCAAAAGUUACUCUGACCUUGGACCCAGCAACUGUUCCUCAUUUUCUGACACUCUGUGACCAUGGGAAAACCGUGACGUGGUCGGGACAAGAAGACAUUGUUAAGAUCGAAACAUUGUUUCCUUAUGUUCUGUGUAAAGAGCGUUUCAGCUCAGGGAAGCAUAGCUGGGAGGUGUUUGUGAAAGGGUGCUGGUGUGUUGGAGUGUGCAGAGAAUCACCGAGGGAACACGGAGUGUGUGGGAGUGUGCAGAGAGACACUGAGGGGACACAGACUCCCUUUAACCCCCGAUAAUGGCUUCUGGGUUCUACAGCAUGAGGAAGGAAGUGGGCUACGCACCAACACUGAACCCCCGUUUAUGGUGGAUGCCGAAGAAGUCCCAGAAAAACUUGGAGUGGUUCUCAACUGUGAAAAUCACACCCUCUCAUUUUAUGAUGCAGACAGUGGACAUCAUCUUUGUCUGUUUAGAAUAAUACACAAUACCACAUUAAUUCCUGUUAUCAGCCCUGGAACUUCAGAUAAAGGUCGCAUAGAAUUGCUCAAGGAACAAACAGGCAGUGGCUCAAGAGGUGAAGGAGUCGUCCUGCAACCGGAGGGGUUGCCAGAUUGAGCCUCACUCCUCCUUACCCUGUCAAAGUGUCCUUGAGCAUGGUGUGGUAGUCGUGUGUGAGCAUGCGUGGCCGUCCAUGUGUGUUUGUGUGUGUG